rnacentral:rRNA from 1 species
GAGGUUAAGCGACUAAGCGUACACGGUGGAUGCCCUGGCAGUCAGAGGCGAUGAAGGACGUGCUAAUCUGCGAUAAGCGCCGGUAAGGUGAUAUGAACCGUUAUAACCGGCGAUUUCCGAAUGGGGAAACCCAGUGUGACUCGUCACACUAUCAUUAACUGAAUCCAUAGGUUAAUGAGGCGAACCGGGGGAACUGAAACAUCUAAGUACCCCGAGGAAAAGAAAUCAACCGAGAUUCCCCCAGUAGCGGCGAGCGAACGGGGAGGAGCCCAGAGCCUGAAUCAGCAUGUGUGUUAGUGGAAGCGUCUGGAAAGGCGCGCGAUACAGGGUGACAGCCCCGUACACAAAAGCGCAUGUGCUGUGAGCUCGAUGAGUAGG